rnacentral:rRNA from 1 species
GCUGGGAGCGGCAGACGGGUGAGUAACACGUUGGAACCUGCCCCAAAGUCAGGGAUAACCAGUAGAAAUAUUGGCUAAUACCGGAUAGUCACGAAAGUGUAAAGCUUUUGCGCUUUGGGAGGGGCCUGCGGUCUAUCAGCUAGUUGGCAAGGUAACGGCUUACCAAGGCUAUGACGGAUAGCUGGUCUGAGAGGAUGAUCAGCCACAAUGGAACUGAGAAACGGUCCAUACUCCUACGGGAGGCAUCAGUGAGGAAUCUUCCGCAAUGGGCGAAAGCCUGACGGAGCA